UCCGUGAUUACCUUGAAAAAGUUUAUAUCGAGGUUAAGAGAGUCGACUCCACAGAUAAUGUGGCAGACCUGCUGACAAAGCCAUUAGGCCAGCAGAAGAUCGAAGCCCACUUUGAGAAGAUGGGACUUAGAUAUGUAGCCAAUUGGCAUUAGGUCAAGUGGGAGUUUGUUAGAUGUGUGCCUAGAUGUCAGAUUGGCUAACACAUUUCUGUACAAAUGUAAGGAUAAAUUUAUAAUUUUGACUAUAAAUAAAUAAAAGGGUUCUUCUACUAUC
rnacentral:lncRNA from 1 species